AUAGUUCUUUAUCUCAUUAUCUGUUCUUCCCGGAAGUCUCCCAGCAAUCAAAGACCACCUGAGAGGAUCAAUCAGCAUCGACUUCCAGAAAGAUCAAGCUUGAAGUCUUGUAAGUCAAAUUUAAUCUAUUGCAGAGACCCUCGAUACAUCGAGUCUUUUGUCAAUAAAAUAGUGUUGAUAGAGGAACCUUUGGCCGGCGAUUUUAGUCAACAUCGGGAAAGGGGUAAUGCGUAGAGGAUUGGACAGGCUUGCUUUAACCUUGCUAAAUAACUUGAUUCCCAAGCAUUGUCCGAACAAGGUCAGACAUGGUCCAUUCAAGGGUAAUAAUCAACACAAAUUUGAGGUAGCAGUACUAACUUAUCGAGUUGCAAAUUAUAAAUUCAUGGACCAAAUGUCUUGUGAGCCGUGAUAACUUUUUAAAAAAAAAUUGUAUCAUAAUUACAAAGGGAAAUUCUAACACCG